rnacentral:snRNA from 1 species
AUACUUACUUGGUGUCGGGCCCUCCGGCGAUCAGUGAGGCCGGGGCCCCGUGCCGAGGCCUCCCAUUGCACUGCGGGUGGCUUAGGUACGCCACUACCCAUGCUGUGGUAGGGGGGGCACGUAAUUUUUGGUAGUGGGGCUUGGCGUGCGCGCCAGCCCCUC